GAUCACACAACUCACUAAUUAAGUUUCAAGACUAACUACCCAGCUCUGUUCUCCAGCCCCGUUGGCGCAAUCUCCACCAGCUACUCCAGUGAAUCCGCCGCCGACAUCGCCACUACUGCGGGAUUCCUACGCCUCCGACCUGGAUCCCUUUGCCGGAGAUGUAAUGAGAUGCCGGGGUUUUCUUCUACUAUGCUCUCUGGUAUUAUGCCAGCGACCUCUAACGUUUUCUUCGGAUCAGUCUAAGGAUGGACAACUGUCUACAUGAACGACGCCAGGAGCAUGCCAGCCGUCCCCUUGCUCACUCCUCACACAAUGCACCUCCGACUACACCCACGAGACUUGGAACGCAAAUCCCGAUUGCUGACACGCGUCCGCAGCCUCAGAUCGCUCCUGAAGUGGAACCCAUGCAACUUGGCCGAGCACAUCUCACACCGGCCAAGUGUUUCCGCAGAAGAAUGGCUGGGGAAUGUUUGUUCUGUGGCCACAGGGGCCACUUUUUGGCAGCUUGUCUGGUGCGACCAAAAGAAUAGGCACACACCAGUCACAUUGGGGGUUCUGGUGAGCCAAGACAACCCCCCAAACCAGGGCUCUCUGAGGUUACAGAUCCAGGCCACUCUCAGCAACCAACAAGCGUCGCUCCCAUUAUUGGCUCUCAUCGACUCCAGGGCAGAAGCUAAAUUUUUGGAUAUCGAGUUGGCUUGGCAGGCUGGCGUCCUUACUGAGUCUCUGGACAUUCUAUGCAAGGUUAAGGCUUUGGAUGGUAGACUCUUAGCACAGAUAACUGACUGCACAGCUCCCGUGUAAUUUGUGUUAUCAGCAAAAGCAGAAGACAUUCAAUUCCAACUCAUCUCAUCUCCUACAACCUCACUAGUUCUGGGCUUCCCCUGGUUACGACAACCCACACAUUGACUGGACCAAGGGAAGAAUUGUGAGUUGGAGCCCUUUCUGUCUAUCCACUUGUAUGCAAUCUACCUUAUCCCCAGACUAACGGCCAGACGGAAAGAGAAGAACCGCAACAUCACAGAGUGGCACCGGAUCCCAGCACCACCUUAUAAACCAGGUCAGAGAGUUUGGCUUUCUUCCAAGAACAUCCUACUAAGAACUGAAUCCAAGAAACUUUCCCCUUGCUACAUUGGUCCAUUCAUUAUCGAACACAUCAUUUAUCCUUCUGCGGUCAGGCUGAAACUACCCCGCUCCAUGAGAGUCCACCCCACUUUUCAUGUAUCCCAACUGAAACCAGUCUCUUCCAGCACUCUGUGGAGUUCAGGAAGCACAGGGGAGACUUUGUUUUCCUCCAGGGCUGAAGUUGAUGCUAACCCCAGGGCUAACCAGUUUCACUUCUCACUUUUGGGAAGCAAGACAUGGGAAUGUCUUGGGUAUUGAGGAGCUGCAGCGUUUAUUCAUGGGCAAAUUGUAACCUACACUGUACAUUUACUGCUACUAGACAAGUUCACUGCUAACCUUUCCCUCUGCUCCGACCACCAACACCUGUCUGCUCUGCUCUGAAUGCAGUCCACCGUCACUGUGGCGUCACUCUCUCUCUCGCUCACCCACACACUCACUACGCACUGCCCUGUUCCUUAAAGGAGCCACGCUACCCUUAUAACAAAUAGGGCGGAAAAGUAAAGAAAGACCGGGCAAGUAGGUGAGGAUGAGCUGUGAAUGGGGUCAAAUUCCCCCCGACAACGAUGUCAUCGUCCUUCACUUUGUUUCACUGUGGACCUUGUCAUAUGCCAAUUUGUUAGACAUCGCCCGUGACAUGCAAUGGUCAAAAUUAGGUAUUUCAACCAAAAUUAUAAUGAAAUAAUAUUACCAGCUUAAACUGCAGAACUCACUUUACAAUUGAAGCUUCUUUUUAAAGAGAUUUUAGUAAAGUUUCAUUUUCAUAGAAGGCUUAUGUUUAUCACUUAAAAGUCUCUGCAUGUACAUUGGGGAGAACCUCACCAAUCAUGCACUAACAUCACUUGUUGUCUGACCACAUUCACUGGUAAUAUCUCAUUGUUUAACAGUGAUCAGUGUGUAAGUGUGGAAACACUGUGGAGCAAAAUGGAAAACAAAAUACAAGAACACACAUUAAA